AUUUCAAGUCUUGCUCAUAAGUUCCAACAUCAGACCAGCCACCUAAAAACGCUGAAGAUGCUUGUAGAAUAAAUUAAUAAAGGGAUGAAUCAAUAGAUAGAUUCUGGACCAAUUGUGCAGUAGACUAAGGGGUCUCAUGGAGAAGAUCACAAGGAGCUGCAGCCAGGAUCAGGCUUCCUAUUCCUUCCCUCAGGUCUAAUGUUCUACACAGGAGAAAUGGGGUAAAUUUUACAAGCAGUCACCAUCAACUUGAGGAGACCACUUAUGAAACGUAACAUGGGUACAGGAGCUUUACCUGAGGUGUGUGUACCCAUAGGAGCUGGGACAAGCAGAGUGAAGGGGCUGACAGCUGUGAUUCUGCUGCCCUGCGGUGUGAAUCCAGAAUCCCAGCUCUUCUCUGCCCAGCCCACACUCCUGGAACCCUCCACUUCAUCUGUCCUCCUCCCUCCAGUGGAGAUCACAGAAGCGGCUGCCUCUAAAGGUUAUGAUGAGGAAGAGGUGAGUUAAUGCGCAUAAACUUAAUAAUGAAUAUUUGUGUAACGGUGUCUGACCACAAUGAGUGCUAAAAGAUCAUUUGUGAAACAAAAUCAUAAAGUAAGUAGAGCAACACCAGGCGUUGGUCCCAUCAUUGCCAUUAUGCAAUCCCGUUGGGGAAAAAUUAGCGAACAGACUUUUUGCCUUUGCUGCCCUUGAUUCCUUCUGUCAGUCUCUUCUUUUUCCUGUGUCCGCCUCGAGUCAUCUUUCCAGUUUUCUCCCAAUGUGCUAGAAGACAACAGCUGCUGGUGCGUAAUGGGACAGACUAAGCUUCCUUCUCUGAGCAGCUUUUGGAUUUCCCCUGGAGCCUCUGAAAGGCUGAGAAGUCACCAGAUCUUACAGAAGGCAACCUCUAGCGCUGCCCCUUCAAUGAAGAAUUGGAAUCUCAGGAGGAGGGACCUUCCUGCGCCUGGUCUCCACUUUCCUGAAGCUGGCCCGGGAGAGAAUGGUCUCACUUUCAGAUGCAAUGACAGAGAGCUUUCCAGCUUUGUAAACACAGAGGGUUUGGCACCAGCUGGUAUCUACAGUCAGGCAACGGGCCGUGGUGUCUUCUGAUAGCCACAGACUCUUUCUCCAGAGCACUCCCAUCAUGCGGAGUGGGCAUUCAUCGGUGCCAUGGAGCUCUCCAAGGCUUAUUCUGGGCCUCUGGAAGGACUGAUAAAUUCUGCAGAUUGUAAUAAACGGUACUAAUUAAUAAUAUUAUUUUUAUUUGUAUGUCCACGAUGCAAAUAUAAACUGUUAGUUGUAUAAUGUGAUUUCAGAAUUACAUAUCAAGAUCCAGGAAAUAAUAUCACUUAUAAACCUUAUAAGAAUUUUUGCUAAGGGUCUGGAAGUGUACCAGUGGUAGGACAUUUACCUAACAUUGUGUGAGACUG
rnacentral:lncRNA from 1 species